rnacentral:rRNA from 1 species
GGAGGGUGCAAGCGUUAUCCGGAUUUAUUGGGUUUAAAGGGUCCGUAGGCGGACUCGUAAGUCAGUGGUGAAAUCUCAUAGCUUAACUAUGAAACUGCCAUUGAUACUGCGGGUCUUGAGUAAGGUAGAGGUAGCUGGAAUAAGUAGUGUAGCGGUGAAAUGCAUAGAUAUUACUUAGAACACCAAUUGCGAAGGCAGGUUACCAUGUCUUAACUGACGCUGAUGGACGAAAGCGUGGGGAGCGAACAGGAUUAGAUACCCUGGUAGUCCACGCCGUAAACGAUGCUAACUCGUUUUUGGGGCUUCGGCUUCAGAGACUAAGCGAAAGUGAUAAGUUAGCCACCUGGGGAGUACGAACGCA